UACGGGGGGGGCAAGCGUUGUUCGGAAUUACUGGGCGUAAAGGGCUCGUAGGCGGCCAACUAAGUCGGAUGUGAAAUCCCCAGGCUUAACCUGGGAACUGCAUCCGAUACUGGAUGGCUUGAAUCCGGGAGAGGGAUGCAGAAUUCCAGGUGUAGCGGUGAAAUGCGUAGAUAUCGGGAGGAACACCAGUGGCGAAAGCGACUCUCUGGGGGUGACCUGACGCUGAGGCGCGAAAGCGUGGGGAGCAAACGGG
rnacentral:rRNA from 1 species